ACCAGCUAAACCAUUAUGAGUCCAAGCAAUGUCAUCAGCCCGCAGACCCAUCAAUCGGAAGGACCACUUGACACUGGGAUCAAUCUGAACAAAGGCACCACGAGAAGGCAAAUACCCCAUGAACCAUCUAAAGAGCAACUGAGAGCAGCAUCUAACCAGACCACCCCGCCUCUUCUCAUUCCUGUUAUGCACUGAGUAGUAGACAUCUCCAAUCAGGGUAGGAAUAGGGUAACCCCAUGAACCAUCUAAAGAGCAACUGAGAGCAGCAUCUAACCAGACCACCCCGCCUCUUCUCAUUCCUGUUAUGCACUGAGUAGUAGACAUCUCCAAUCAGGGUAGGAAUAGGGUUUCUCUGCAU
rnacentral:lncRNA from 1 species